GCGGGGUCAGGACCCACGAAAUAGGGGGCGGGGAGGGACCUGAGAGGAGCGCAUGGCAGUCCCGCACGUGUGCACGCACAGACACGUGAAUUUGUACAUCCGUUUGUGCUUGGCUCGCCGGAGCUUAAAGGCAAGACCUUCCCCCCACACCGGCAGGUGGAAAGAGAGAGGGAGAAGAGACCCGGAAUACGGGGCGAAUCACAGGAGGUGGCAUUUCGCACUGGAAUAUGGGACAGCCCCACUUUGUACGCCACACAUAGAGGAAAACACACAACCACACAUCCAUUUGGUCUGAGGUUUAAAGGGCUCCCAGUCAGCCGCCAGUGUGCUGUGUUAUGAGAGAAGAUCACCUGUGUGUAUGAGGAUCAGUGUGCAUAUCCAAGCCCUCUUCCGAAAAUGAUGUCCAUCUAUAAGCAAGAGAACCGCAUUGUUUUUAUUUGCCUGUAUAGAGGAGGGGACUUGAAAGGCUUUUGGGGCAGAAAAGCAGCCUAUGAAUAUAAGUCAAUAAAGAUUGGUGUAGGGCUUUCUUCACUGUGA